rnacentral:misc_RNA from 1 species
AACGGUCUAUACCUGCGGUACCUGCGGAGGGAUCAUUACAGAGUUCGUGCCCUCUGGGUAGAUCUCCCACCCACUGUUUUCCUUACGACCGUUGCUUUGGCGGGCCGCCGGCCCUGCCCGGCCGCCGGCGCCCAGCUGGCGCGCGCCCGCCAGAGGCCCUCCAGACUCUGAAUGUUAGCGUCGUCUGAGUACCACAUAAUAAGUUAAAACUUUUAGCAAUGGAUCUCUAGAUCGGAAGAG